AUAAUUACACAAACUAAAAUUAUAUCAAAAUGACUGAAUUUUAUUUCCGGAGAAUCGAGCUUCUUUUUCUGGCUAAAAAAGGAGAAAAUAAAUUUGCAACAACAACGAUAGCCACACGAAUUAUCGUGCGAAGAUAACGAGCCCCAUUUUGUACUUUGAGCAGAAUGAGAAUCGUCGUGGAACUUUACGCCACGCUCAAUAGAACACGUUCUUUAUUUUCAUUUACUUCUUUUUUAUUGUUGUUACACAAUCAUGUGUAGAAUCUAUGCGUAAAAACUAUUUUAUGAAUCGAAUAAUUAUCUAUCGUCUUAUAUCAAUGAACUUUUUAUUUUUCAAUUGCUGAUGGAACGACGUAUAAGUUCGAACGAACAUCGAUGGUUCUUCACUAAAAGUCUGCUGUAACUCUAUCUAUCUUCGAGAGCAUCGAUUACUCUGUCGAUCAAUAUGUUUCUUGAUGAUCAUCAUGCUGGACAAGUAGUAAAUUGAAAGACAGCAGGACUUGCACUUGUACAGAAAUUCACGUAAGUACUUUGUUUUCUAUAACUCUAUGUUGCUUUUUUAUAAUGAAUUAUACUGUGUAAUAUUGUUUAAUUAAAAAGAUUGAAAAAUCUAUUAAUGAGGCUUUAUUGUGUUAUUUUUUAUAUGCAAUAAAGUAUUAGUAUUGGA